rnacentral:misc_RNA from 1 species
GAUGAAGAACGCAGCGAAAUGCGAUACGUAAUGUGAAUUGCAAAUUCAGUGAAUCAUCGAGUCUUUGAACGCACAUUGCGCCGCCUGGUAUUCCGGGGGGCAUGCCUGUCCGAGCGUCAUUGCUGCCCUCAAGCACGGCUUGUGUGUUGGGCCCCGUCCUCCGAUCCCGGGGGACGGGCCCGAAAGGCAGCGGCGGCACCGCGUCCGGUCCUCGAGCGUAUGGGGCUUUGUCACCCGCUCUGUAGGCCCGGCCGGCGCUUGCCGAUCAACCCAAAUUUUUAUCCAGGUUGACCUCGGAUCAGGUAGGGAUACCCGCUGAACUUAAGCAUAUCAAUAAGCGGAGGA